rnacentral:rRNA from 1 species
CCCUACGGGGGGCAGCAGUGAGGAAUAUUGGUCAAUGGGCGGGAGCCUGAACCAGCCAAGUCGCGUGAGGGAAGACGGUCCUAUGGAUUGUAAACCUCUUUAGGCGGGGAGCAAUGCCGGGCACGCGUGCCCGGAGGGAGAGUACCCGCAGAAUAAGCAUCGGCUAACUCCGUGCCAGCAGCCGCGGUAAUACGUAUGGUGCAAGCGUUAUCCGGAUUUACUGGGCGUAAAGGGAGCGCAGGCGGCGCGCCAAGUCUGAUGUGAAACCCCGGGGCUCAACUCCGGGCAUGCAUUGGAAACUGGCG